rnacentral:rRNA from 1 species
AUGUUUUGACAAGGGGGGAAACCCUGAUCCAGCCAUCCCGCGUGUAUGAUGAAGGCCUUCUGUUUGUAAAGUACUUUUGGCAGAGAAGAAAAGGUAUCCCCUAAUACUAGAUACUGCUGACGGUAUCUGCAGAUUAAGCACCGGCUACCUACGUGCACGCAGCCGCGGUAAUACGUAGGGUGUAAGCGUUAAUCGGAAUUACUGGGCGUAAAGCGUGUGGUGGCGGUUCGGAAAGAAAGAUGUGAAAUCACAGGGCUCAACCUUGGAACUGCAUUUUUAACUGCCGAGCUAGAGUAUGUCAGAGGGGGGUAGAAUUCCACGUGUAGCAGUGAAAUGCGUAGAUAUGUGGAGGAAUACCGAUGGCGAAGGCAGCCCCCUGGGAUAAUACUGACGCUCAGACACGAAAGCGUGGGGAGCAAACAGG